AUUGAACGCUGGCGGCAGGCCUAACACAUGCAAGUCGAACGGCAGCACAGUACUUGCUUGCUCUUUCGGCUGCCGACGGGCGGACGAUGCAUGGAUACCUCCGAAUCUACGUGUGCUUACGUGAGAACGUAGGCGCACUUACCCUAAUAGCGCAGACGACGUACGUGGGAAAUCAUGGGAUCUUCGGACCUCACGUGAGUCAAGGAGCCGAUGUCGGAUUAGCUAGUUGGUGGGGUAAAGGCCCACCAAGGCGACGAUCCGUAGCUGGUCUGAGAGGAUGAUCAGCCACACUGGAACUGAGACACGGUCCAGACUCCUACGGGAGGCAGCAGUGGGGAAUAUUGGACAAUGGGCGAAAGCCUGAUCCAGCCAUGCCGCGUGUGUGAAGAAGGUCUUCGGGUUGUAAAGCACUUUUGUUGGGGAAGAAGAGCAGCAGGUUAAUACCUCGCUGUUCUGACGGUACCAACAGAAUAAGCACCGGCUAACCUCGUG
rnacentral:rRNA from 1 species